rnacentral:rRNA from 1 species
UACGAAGGGGGCUAGCGUUGCUCGGAAUCACUGGGCGUAAAGCGCACGUAGGCGGCUUUUUAAGUCAGGGGUGAAAUCCCGAGGCUCAACCUCGGAACUGCCUUUGAUACUGGGGAUCUGGAGUCCGGGAGAGGUGAGCGGAACUGCGAGUGUAGAGGUGAAAUUCGUAGAUAUUCGCAAGAACACCAGUGGCGAAGGCGGCUCACUGGCCCGGAACUGACGCUGAGGUGCGAAAGCGUGGGGAGCAAACAGG